GUUUCUCUUUCUUCAGAUGAUGAUCCCAAGCCUUCUGGCGAUCUCUUAAAACAAAGCCUAAUCCUGUUUUUAGCAAACAGGACGUUUAGAUAUAUGUUUAAAUUCUUAUGAAACUUAAAAAUCACGAAUUUAAAAAAGGCUUUUUGAAGAAAGCACUUUAAGCUUUUCCAGCGAUUUAAGAUGAUACCGGGGAAGGUUUUCCGGUUUAUCCCGGAGGGCUUGUAGCUCAGUUGGUUAGAGCGCGCGCUUGAUAAGCGUGAGGUCGGAGGUUCAAGUCCUCCCAGGCCCACCAAUUUAUGCUCGUUUUUUGCUUAUCCAAGAGUGUGAAGCUUAAGCGUAUUAAAGCCUCUUCAAUCUUUGUGUGUUUUAAAGAUUUAAUUUUCUUAUCCAAAGAUUGUCUGGUAAGUUUAUCCUAUUAAGUUCAUCGAAGAGGAUUUUAAAAUCCCUUCAAAGGUAUAAAAGAAUUUAAAAGGGUAUAGAGGAAUUUAAAUGAUGCCAAUCAAAAUAGUCCAAGUCAUUCAAGUUGAUGAAUAUACUUGAGGUUGAUGUGAGAGAGCAUUAUUUAGGGGCCGUAGCUCAGCUGGGAGAGCACCUGCUUUGCAAGCAGGGGGUUGUCGGUUCGAUCCCGUCCGGCUCCACCACUUUAGGUUCAUCAGCAUGUGUAAUUCCCAUUUUUGCGUGCAUCGUUUU
rnacentral:tRNA from 1 species